rnacentral:rRNA from 1 species
UUAAACAAGAUAAGAGUUUUUGGUGGAUGCCUUGGGUCUGGAAGUCGAUGAAGGACGUGAUUACCUGCGAUAAGCCUCGGUUAGCUGGAAAUAAGCUACGAUCCGGGGAUUUCCAWNGGGGGGAAACCCA